GUUCUUUGUUUCUCUUCAGAUUGAAUAAAUCUUUCACCUUUUACUAAAAAUUUCCACUGGAUAGAAAUGUUGGGAAUUGCCAGUGAAAUUUUUUGAGGCCUUCAUUAGGUAAGUCU